UUAAAAGUGAGGCUUUUGAACGCCAGGCAAUACGAAUCUCCACAAAAGGCAAAUGUGAUUCACUCUGCAGAGAGCUUUAGGCAGCUAAAGACCAAGCACUCAUUAAGUAUUCACUGUACAGUUAAGUUACAGUCCAAUGGUAUCCAGGUCUACUCAGAAAUAAUUCCAAACUCAGGUAAUUCUGAUAACUAUAAGAUUCACCCACAUGAAAAAAAAUGGCCUAAAGCCUAUAAUAAUAUAAAGAACAAGACUAUAGUGUUCAAACACAAUCGAAGCAAACCUGUGGAUGUAAAGAAGGAAUACUGCCCUAUUUUAUAAGAGAAAGAGAAAGCUGUUGACC